rnacentral:lncRNA from 1 species
AAAAACUAUUAUCUUUAUCACAUGAGCUUCACGCACUCUUUACAAUCUUUUAAUUUUUGGUAUAAGCCCUAUAAGUCAAUCUGUGGUUGUACAAGAAUCACAAUUUGAGAUAUUCAUGUAUAACAUUUUGUUGUUUAUAACAACAUUAAGGUAGGUUUUUUAUCCAUAAGUUUGUAAUUUAAUUACUAUUUAUACUUAUGUAGAUAAUGUGCAGAGAACUAU